CUAACACUUAGAAAGUUUUUCCAUCUAUUAAGUUGCUCCAUAUAGCUGCCUCUUCUUCAGGGAAUUUAAAUCGUGGCUCUUUGGAGAUAAGGCUUUCUGGCUGAUGAGCAGGGGUAUCUGGGGACAGGUCAUUUUGUGGCACGGAGGGCCAACUCCCAGAGGACCUCUGCAGGGCCCUGCCUGCCCCCGCCUCACUCUCUCCUGCCUCACCCGCAGGUACGUGCAGGAGGGACGGUUCCGGAUUGAGGAGAGGACGCUGACAGCCUUCCAGUGGCUCUACAGCCCCCAGCAGCAUCGCAUCCUCAGCCGUGCUGACCUGGAGUCUCCCUCCAGAUGACAAAACUGAGGCACAGAGACAGUGGCAGUGCUCACAACCACUAUGCAUACUCCCUCUCAGAGAACAGGACAUGUGCCCCAACGUGGGAGAUGGUGAAAGUAAUUUGUAUCUUUACAGAGAGGAAAUAAAUCCACAAACCAUAAAUAAAUGAGCUUAGCAUCAGUCCUAAUCAGGUUUCAGAGUCUGUUAUUAAAG
rnacentral:lncRNA from 1 species